GCGGUAAUACGAAGGGGGCUAGCGUUGUUCGGAAUUACUGGGCGUAAAGCGCACGUAGGCGGACAUUUAAGUCAGGGGUGAAAUCCCAGAGCUCAACUCUGGAACUGCCUUUGAUACUGGGUGUCUUGAGUAUGGAAGAGGUGAGUGGAAUUCCGAGUGUAGAGGUGAAAUUCGUAGAUAUUCGGAGGAACACCAGUGGCGAAGGCGGCUCACUGGUCCAUUACUGACGCUGAGGUGCGAAAGCGUGGGGAGCAAACAGGAUU
rnacentral:rRNA from 1 species